UUCCUUCUUUAACGAGCAGAGAAGAGAAGCCAUGUCUUCUUCUCUUCUUUCCUCUUUUCUUGCUUCUGCUCGAACGCCACCAUCGCCCUCUCCAUGAUGCCAGCAGCAGUAUCUAAUUUUUUUCUUCUUCCUCGAUCAGCUUUUCUUGAACCCUUUUGUUUAAUCUCUACGCUAGAAUACCUACAUCCAAUAUUUCUAUUUAUUAUCUAGGGUUUCAAUUAUAGAGAUUCAGUAAGAGAUUACUUCGAUUGAGCAAAUAUUUUUUUCCGAAUUUAGAGUCGUUCUUAAUCAGAAAUUAAUUUGAGUCGGGAAAGCCCAAUUAGUGCAACUGUAUAGAAAGGACUGAAGGCGGAAAAUAAUUGAAACCUAGAAAGAGCAGGAGAGAAAGAGAUAUGCGAAAUUGUAGUGGUAGGAGGAUUACAAAAUGGUAUUAAGAAUAGGCCGUCCUGAACCGGAAAGAAAAAGGAAAUUGAUGAAAGAACAGCUGGGUACUAAAGUUAACACAGCGAAUGACAUUCUUUGCCAUAAGAGUACUUUAUUUUGUUUUUGCUUAAUUCGGUAACCUCUAUUGCUUAAUUCUGUAACCUCAUGUUGGUGCCAAGGUUUUCUACCUUCCUCAAAAGUUACUUGGAACAGGUUAUGUCGAAAUUGUGUACAUGUUUACUGUUACAUCAGUGUUAAUAGUGAUGUUAAGUCUUAUUAUUUAUGUUUGGUUUGGGUUUGUAGGUCGAAGCAUGCACCAAUCAAGAAUUUGAUAUACAAUUUCCAAAGCACAAUUUGCCUUCACAAAUUCUUUGUCAGGUUGUAUACAUGAAGUUAAAGGCUGAAUUAGAAACUGAUGAGGUGUUUGCGCAAGUGACUUUGCUUCCUGAGAUGAAGGAAGAGGUGUCUGGUAUUGAGAAUUCCUUCCUAAAGCGGACAUGUAUCAAUAGCUGCCAUCGCAAGAACUGGUGGCUAGGGAUUUUCAUGGGUUAGAGUGGAACUUUCGCCAUGUGUACCGCGGGGCGAAAGUGGAGAAAUUUGUGUUGGUGUUAGUCGUGCAACGGAGACACAAUAGAGUCCUUCUUCAUCUGUCAUAUCUUUUCGCAACAUGCAACUUGGUGUACUUGCCACUGCAUCUCACGCUAUAUCUACUAGGACCAUGUUUAGUGUGUAUUACCUUCCUAGGAUGAGUCCGUCCGAGUUCCUAAUUCCAUACGAUGAAUACAUGAGCUCAGUUAGGACUGAGGUUCAGAAUGAAGUUUGAGGGAGAAGAAGGCCCAAAACAAAGUUGGAAUUGACGAUGUUGAUCCGGUUAGGUGGCCUAUAUCGAAAUGGAGAUGUCUCACGGACUCUAGGUUACAUGGGAUGAACCUUGUUUAACAAUUGUUCGUCCUAAAAGAGUUUCUCCUUAGACAAUGGAACUAUCUGACAAUGCAAGACCAAUUCGAUUCCAGUACAACUGAAAACGGCAAGAAGGGUUCGAAUCUCCUCAUCUGUUGAUUCAUCUAUCCUGGAUGAUGGUUAGUUUUCAAUGUGAUCUGUCUUAUUUACUUGUAGGAUUUUUUUUUUUAAUGUUGCCUAUACUUGCUUCUAAGGUUAGUGUUCACUUCUUCAAAUGUAGAAUGAAUGAAUGUUUGAAUGACUUCUUUUGAAUUAAGAAUCAAUGUUUGAAUGACUUCUUUUGAAUUAAGAAUGAAUGUUUGAAUUGGAUUGGA